rnacentral:rRNA from 1 species
CGGCCGCGGUAUCCUAACCGUGCAAAGGUAGCAUAAUCAUUUGUCUAUUAAUUGUAGACCCGUAUGAAAGGCAAAAUGAGAGCCUAACUGUCUCUUAUAACAAAUCAAUUAAACUGAUCUCCCAGUACAAAAGCUGGGAUACCCACAUAAGACCAGAAGACCCUGUGAAGCUUUAACUAACCUAUUAAACCUCAUAAUAACUAUUUCGGUUGGGGCGACCUUGGAAUAAAAAAGAACUUCCAGGCAGACAGGCCGACCCAGCUGAUACAUGAACCAAGUUACUCCAGGGAUAACAGCGCUAUCUUCUUUAAGAGCCCAUAUCAAAAAGAAGGUUUACGACCUCGAUGUUGGAUCAGGACAUCCUAGCAAUGCAACAGUUACUAAGGGUUCGUUUGUUCAACGAUUAAUAGUCCUACGUGAUCUGA